AACGAACGCUGGCGGCAGGCCUAACACAUGCAAGUCGAGCGCACCCUUCGGGGUGAGCGGCGGACGGGUGAGUAACGCGUGGGAACGUGCCCUUCUCUGCGGAAUAUCCUCGGGAAACUGAGAGUAAUACCGCAUACGCCCUUUGGGGGAAAGAUUGAUCGGAGAAGGAUCGGCCCGCGUUGGAUUAGGUAGUUGGUGGGGUAAUGGCCCACCAAGCCGACGAUCCAUAGCUGGUUUGAGAGGAUGAUCAGCCACACUGGGACUGAGACACGGCCCAGACUCCUACGGGAGGCAGCAGUGGGGAAUCUUAGACAAUGGGGGCAACCCUGAUCUAGCCAUGCCGCGUGAGUGAUGAAGGCCUUAGGGUUGUAAAGCUCUUUCAGCUGGGAAGAUAAUGACGGUACCAGCAGAAGAAGCCCCGGCUAACUCCGUG
rnacentral:rRNA from 1 species